ACGGAAGGCAGCAGCUAAGAAUAUUCCGCAAUGCACGAAAGUGUGACGGAGCGACGCCGCGUGGAUGAUGAAGGCCUGCAGGUUGUAAAAUCCUUUUAAGCAUGAAGAAUAAGUUAUAUCAGAGAUAGGUAUAAUGGUGCCGGUAGUGCUUGAAUAAGCAACGGCUAAUUACGUGCCAGCAGCCGCGGUAACACGUAAGUUGCGAGCGUUGUUCGGAAUUAUUGGGCGUAAAGGGCAUGUGGGCGGUUUUGCAAGCUUGGUGUGAAAGGCAGGAGCUUAAAUCCGGGAUUGCUUUGAGAACUGCAAGACUAGAGUGAAUGAGGUGCAAUCGGAAUUCCUGGUGUAGGGGUGAAAUCUGUAGAUAUAAGGAAGAAUACCAAUGGCGAAGGCAGGUUGCAAGCAGAUGACUGACGCUGAGGUGCGAAAGUGCGGGGAGCAAACAGGAUUAGAUACCCUGGUA
rnacentral:rRNA from 1 species